CAGGGAGACAACAAAAUGUUUAAUAUUAUUAUUUUGUCACCUUAGGUCGAUCGGUAUCUCACAUUCUUGAUUUAUUAAGGAUUUUAUUUCCUAAGUUUUUUCUAGGUCACACCCAUUACUUUUCCUGGGCCAUUAGCUCAGGUGGUUAGAGCGCACCCCUGAUAAGGGUGAGGUCCCUGGUUCAAGUCCAGGAUGGCCCAUAUCUCUAUGUUGGGGGUAUAGCUCAGUUGGUAGAGCGCCUGCUUUGCAAGCAGGAUGUCAGCGGUUCGAGUCCGCUUACCUCCACUGAUUACCACCUCUUCCAUAAUUUUCAUUAAGGAAAUGUAUUGAGUAGUGAUCAAAUUCUGAACGAAUCUAGCUUCCUAAUGAAAUCAUUAAGAUGCUGGACUCAUUGAAUUAAAUUCAUUGUUUUCAGAGAACCUUGACAACUGCAUAGAUUAUUUUUAAAGACAAUAAGCAUCUUUAUGAUGCAGAUUUAUUAUUUGUGCAAAUGCAUUAAUAACAAUUCUAUUAAGCUGAUGCUUCAAUUAUGAAGUUAUU
rnacentral:tRNA from 1 species